GCAGUAGCCGCGGUAAUACAGAGGGUGCGAGCGUUAAUCGGAUUUACUGGGCGUAAAGCGUGCGUAGGCGGCUUCUUAAGUCGGAUGUGAAAUCCCUGAGCUUAACUUAGGAAUUGCAUUCGAUACUGGGAAGCUAGAGUAUGGGAGAGGAUGGUAGAAUUCCAGGUGUAGCGGUGAAAUGCGUAGAGAUCUGGAGGAAUACCGAUGGCGAAGGCAGCCAUCUGGCCUAAUACUGACGCUGAGGUACGAAAGCAUGGGGAGCAAACAGGAUUAGAUACCCCUGUAGUCCCUGUCUCUUAUAA
rnacentral:rRNA from 1 species